rnacentral:rRNA from 1 species
GUGAGGAAUAUUGGUCAAUGGGCGAGAGCCUGAACCAGCCAAGUCGCGUGAAGGAAGAAGGAUCUAUGGUUCGUAAACUUCUUUUGCAGGGGAAUAAAGUGCGGGACGUGUCCUGUUUUGUAUGUACCCUGAGAAUAAGGAUCGGCUAACUCCGUGCCAGCAGCCGCGGUAAUACGGAGGAUCCGAGCGUUAUCCGGAUUUAUUGGGUUUAAAGGGUGCGUAGGUGGUUUGAUAAGUCAGCGGUGAAAGUUUGCAGCUUAACUGUAAAAAUGCCGUUGAAACUGUCGGACUUGAGUGUAAAGGAGGUAGGCGGAAUGCGUGGUGUAGCGGUGAAAUGCAUAGAUAUCACGCAGAACUCCGAUUGCGAAGGCAGCUUACUAAGCUACAACUGACACUGAAGCACGAAAGCGUGGGGAUCAAACAGGAUUAGAAACCCGUGUAGUCC